rnacentral:tRNA from 1 species
GGGAUACAGCUCAAUAGGUAGAGUGCUUGCCUUAUAUGCACAAGGUCCUGGGUUCAAUCCCCAGAAACACA